rnacentral:rRNA from 1 species
AACGAACGCUGGCGGCAGGCCUAACACAUGCAAGUCGAACGCCCCGCAAGGGGAGUGGCAGACGGGUGAGUAACGCGUGGGAACCUACCUUUCGGCGCGGAAUAACUUCGGGAAACCAAAGCUAAUACCGCAUACGCCCUACGGGGGAAAGAUUUAUCGCCGAUAGAUGGGCCCGCGUCGGAUUAGCUAGUUGGUGAGGUAAUGGCUCACCAAGGCUACGAUCCGUAGCUGGUCUGAGAGGAUGAUCAGCCACACUGGGACUGAGACACGGCCCAGACUCCUACGGGAGGCGGCAGUGGGGAAUAUUGGACAGUGGGCGCAAGCCUGAUCCAGCCAUGCCGCGUGAGUGAAGAAGGCCUUAGGGUUGUAAAGCUCUUUUAGUGGGGACGAUAAUGACGGUACCCACAGAAUAAGCCCCGGCUAACUUCGUGCCAGCAGCCGCCGUAA